rnacentral:rRNA from 1 species
CUUUCCCUACGGGGCGCAGCAGUAGGGAAUUUUCGUCAAUGGGCGCAAGCCUGAACGAGCAAUGCCGCGUGAACGAGGAAGGUCUUCGGAUCGUAAAGUUCUGUUGGAGGGGAAAAAGAGCGGAGAGAGGAAAUGGUCUCCGAUUGAUAUUACCCUUCGAGGAAGUCACGGCUAACUACGUGCCAGCAGCCGCGGUAAUACGUAGGUGGCGAGCGUUAUCCGGAAUGAUUGGGCGUAAAGGGUGCGUAGGCGGCCUGCUAAGUAUGGAGUGAAAGGUACAGGCUCAACCGGUACAG